rnacentral:tRNA from 1 species
UGGCUCAAAGGAUAAAGCGCCUGCCUGCAAUGCAGGAGACCCGGGUUUGAUCCCUGG